AUUGAACGCUGGCGGCAGGCCUAACACAUGCAAGUCGAGCGAGCGGCGGGCGUGUGUGUAAUGUAUGGGGAUCUGCCCGAUAGAGGGGGUUAACUACUGGAAACGGUUGCUAAUACCGCACACUAUCGGAUGACCCCAUAUGGGAUGAGCUAGUAGGUGGGGUAAAGGCUCACCUAGGCGACGAUCUCUAGCUGGUCUGAGAGGAUGAUCAGCCACACUGGGACUGAGACACGGCCCAGACUCCUACGGGAGGCAGCAGGGGGGAAUAUUGCACAAUGGGCGAAAGCCUGAUGCAGCCAUGCCGCGUGUAUGAAGAAGGCCUUAGGGUUGUAAAGUACUUUAAGCGGGGAGGCGUUACCCACAGAAGAAGCACCGGCUAACUCCGUGCCAGCAGCCGCGGUAAUAC
rnacentral:rRNA from 1 species